rnacentral:lncRNA from 1 species
UUACAAUAAUAUAUAUAGUAAUUGGCACCACAUAUUAAUUUAUUACUGUAAUUUUUUUCUGCUUUUUGAUUAAAUAUCAAAUACUUAUUAUAGAUUGCCCAAUGAUUAUGCCCAAAGGGAACAAUGGGUUUCAUUAAUGGAAAUAAACACAUUUAAAAAGAACAUAUUUUUUGUUCAGAUCACAUCCUUAGAAGUGAUAUAAGGGAGAUAAUAUUAUCAGUAGCCAGACUUUAUUAAAAAAAUCAGCUCUACCUCAAAGGAUUUCUGAUGCACUGGUUAAAAACACAGCAGCCAAUAAUUCAGUUAAUUUACCAAGUGAUUUACCCUUCAAAGCUACAGGGGUAGCUUUCCUGAAGAGUGCAAAAACUUCUUUAGCUUUCAAAAUGGUAUAUAGUACAAACAGUGAAGCUAAUAUAGACACAUCUGAUCAUUCAUCAUCAACAAUAACUGCAUCUGAGAAUUAUAGUUCUACAGUAACCGUGGAGUCUAGGUCAACAAUUACUAUUUCUCAUCCAAGCCAUUUUUGUUUAACUGCUACACAUUCCCUGACUCUGCCAAGGAAAAGGGUAAAAUCAAAAUGAUAUCCUGAGGACCUAAGCACUGAUGAUUCCACCGUUUCAAGAGCUUAAUCACUUGUCACCAGAUUAUGGAAAAAAAAUAAAGAACAAAAAAUUAAAAUUCG